rnacentral:hammerhead_ribozyme from 1 species
AAGUGAAACGGCGGCCUUGAGACGGCCACCGUCGUCCGGGAGCGGCGUUCCGGACCUGAAGAUGCAAGCCAAAG